rnacentral:tRNA from 1 species
GGGCCGGUCGUCUAGGUGGUUAGGAUAUCUGCCUGACACGCAGAAGGUCGCCAGUUCAAGUCUGGCCCGGCCCA